rnacentral:rRNA from 1 species
UACGAAGGGGGCUAGCGUUGUUCGGAAUUACUGGGCGUAAAGCGCACGUAGGCGGAUUUUUAAGUCAGGUGUGAAAUCCCGGGGCUCAACCUCGGAACUGCAUUUGAAACUGGAAGUCUUGAGACCAGGAUAGGUUAGCGGAAUACCGAGUGUAGAGGUGAAAUUCGUAGAUAUUCGGUGGAACACCAGUGGCGGAGGCGGCUAACUGGACUGGUACUGACGCUGAGGUGCGAAAGUGUGGGGAGCAAACAGG